rnacentral:rRNA from 1 species
GAUGAACGCUGGCGGUAUGCUUAACACAUGCAAGUCGAACGGACUCAUAGGAAUUAGUGGCGGAUGGGGGAGUAGCGCGUGGGAAUCGGGCUUUGGGUAUGGGACAACCACUGGAAACGGUGGAUAACGCAGGAUGUGCCGCGAGGUAACAGAGUACUGGCCUGAAGAUGAGCUAGCGUCUGAUUAGCUAAUUGGUGAGGUAAAGGCUCACCAAGGCAGCGAGCAGUAGCAGGUUUGAGAGGAUGACCAGCCAAACUGGCACUGCGACACGGCCGUGACUACUACGGGACGCAGGGGUGAAGAAUGUUCCAGAAUGGGCGAAUGCGUGACGGAGGACUACCGCUUGAGAGAAGAUGGUUCUUGGGAAGAAAACCUCUUUGCUUAGGGAAGAACGAAAUGACGGUACCUAAGGAAUCAGCAACGGCUAACUCCGUG